ensembl:lncRNA
AUCACUUGCCCCGAACAGAGCACAGGAUCUCGUGCUGUGGAUUUGUGCAUGUGGUUUGCAGACCAGCUGCAGAAGCCAGAGACCUCUUAGAACUGCAGCUACCAGCCCGGCCCUCUCUGGUGACUGGGAAGCUUACUCAGAUCCCUUGUCAAGAACACCUGGGCUUCCCACGUGGCCCUGUGGUAAAGAAUCUGCCUGCCAACACAGGAGAUGCAAGAGAUGCAGGUUGAUCUCUGGCUCGGAAAGAUCCCCUGGAGUAGGAAACAGCAACUCACUCGAUGUUCUUGCCUGGGAAAUUCCACGGACAGAGGAGCCUGGUGGACUGUAGUGCAUGGUCGCAGAAUCGGACACCGCUGAGUGACUGAGUACACACACACAGGAACACCAGGGAGCUUCCAAGCAGGGAGCAACUUGAUGGGCUUUUCAAAACUGCACACUUUUCCUGAAUUGCAACCAACCAUCCCACAUGGACAUUCACUUUCUUUUAGGAAGCGUCAAGAGCAGGAGCCACUCUGGGAAACAAAUCUAAAGGCUCACGAUUGAGUCAUGAGUGAGGCAGUGUGAUGAGGCAGAGAUUUGAGUACAAGCCCCUCUGGGUCACUAACAAGAAUGCAUUCCAAUAAUAUUAUGCUCAAGAAACACUAACAAAGGUAAAUCACAGUCAAAGCUUUGUUGAAUGCAAUAUAUUUUGAACUGAAAUUAUCGGUUGUGUCAGUGGUUUAGUGUUUGAGUUCGUGGCUGAUCUCUGUCCACUUGGGAAAUGUUCCAGCUCCUAUGCAAGAAGUUUCCCCAUUUUUGAGUGAUGAACCCGCAGGGUUGAAGAUGUUCCCCACAUUCAGCCUCACCUGGACUGUGUUUUGAAGCUGCUAUGUAUUAUUACCCUUUCUUAGACUUCCUUGAACAUCCCAAGUCUCUUUAAAUCACCACGAAUGAUUUACUAAAAUUAGUUCACUUCUCUUCUGAAGUGCCGGCAGGGAGUUUGUGUGUGGAUGAAAUAACUGUGUAUGAUAUUAAUCUUGUAUGUCAAGUCCCAUGUAAUGAAGUAUGAGUCAG